rnacentral:rRNA from 1 species
AUUGAACGCUGGCGGCAGGCUUAACACAUGCAAGUCGAGCGAGCGGCGGACGGGUGAGUAAUGUCUGGGGAUCUGCCCGAUAGAGGGGGAUAACUACUGGAAACGGUGGCUAAUACCGCAUACUAUCGGAUGAACCCAUAUGGGAUUAGCUAGUAGGUGGGGUAAAGGGUCACCUAGGCGACGAUCUCUAGCUGGUCUGAGAGGAUGAUCAGCCACACUGGGACCGAGACACGGCCCAGACUCCUACGGUAGGCAGCAGUGGGGAAUAUUGGACAAUGGGCGCAAGCCUGAUGCAGCCAUGCCGCGUGUAUGAAGAAGGCCUUAGGGUGGUAAAGUACUUUCAGCGUGGAGGCGUUACCCGCAGAAGAAGCACCGGCUAACUCCGUGCCAGCAGCCGCGGUAAUUC